GCGAAUAUAGUCGAAUGGUAAAACUUCUCUUUGCCAAGGAGAAUACGCGGGUUCAAUUCCCGCUAUCCGCC
rfam:Gossypium hirsutum cultivar TM-1 chromosome 13, whole genome shotgun sequence